UUGGUAGACAGAGAACGAUAAAGAAUAAUAUAAAGGUAUGAAAAAAAAACUAUUCAAUCGACGUGAAUGGAAGCAAUCUGUGGCACAUUUGAAAGUCUGGAGAUUCUUUUUUCCUCCGUGGCUAUGGUGAUUUAGCCGAACCGCUGUUGAUGUGUGGCAUUACAGCUCGCCUGAGAUGAAGUGUGUUAUAGGACUGUCUUUUUUUUUUUUUACCUUGCAGAGAAAUGAGUGGGUUCAUACCGUCUAGUGUUAUGUGAAAUGACAUUCACUAUUCACACGGUCAUUUGUCUGUCGUGUGGUCUGAAUGAGAUAUUGUCUAGGCGGAGGCCGAAUAACUAUGAUGAUCUGAAGAUACAGACAUGUUUUACGAGGCGAUGUGAACUACGCACAAAUGUCGCUUCCAACAAAGACGGGCCAAACGCAUUCUUUGAAGACAUUCACAAUGACAGGGAUUGACCAUCCAUAGCUCGGUCUCGUCAGAAAGAAAGGGAAUGGAAAAAGAGUAGACAUUUAUUGACAACAAAAAAACCACACAGAGCUCUCAGUUUAUGUAAGAAAUGUGGUUAUUAUUUAGUAUCACCUUCUGUUACAUACUCUACUCAAGAACACUCGGGAUAACUAUUUUCAUUGUAUGGUCUUUUUUUCCAAUCACAGAUAAAAAAUAAACUUAAAGAUGUUACAAAUAUAAACUGUAUUCUUAAGACAUUAAACCAUAUUUAAAAUGACAACAAAUGAAAGGGUAGGCAGGGAUAUACCAGCUAAUGCUUACACAGUCUUAUCUUUUCACUGCUUCCCACCCAAAGAAUGGGGAGAGAGAGUUAAAUAUGUGGUGUGGGAGUUGUACACAAGCAGUUCACUUUUGGCAAUGGCAUGAAGAAAUAUGGAGGGCUAAAGGAUUUCUCUGGGUCAGUACAUAGCAGAUUAGAGAGUGCCAUCUUUACUGAAACCUUCAGACUGGAAUUGAAGAUGGCACUUCUAAAAACCUCUCACAAUCCAGCCUCCUAUAAAAGCAGAAAGGUGUGUAUAUAUAUAUAUGUAUAUAUGUGUUGUAAUUUAAGUUUUUUAGAUUCAGCGUAUUUAUGAAUCACUCAUAAAUACGCUGUUUAUGAGGGAUUUCUUGUAAUUGUCAUCAGGGGAAAAAAAAAAAAAAAAAACAUCUAAAAGGACAGAGGGAGUCAGGAUCUGUUGAGAUGGAAUCUACUCUACUAAUGAAAAAGGCCUAGUGUGGAUCUUUAUGACAAGGGCAGAUACAGUACAAUGCUAAUUCUGUGGCAGCCGAGUGUUUGCUUCUCCAGUAGUUUACCUCUCCCACACACGUUAAAACCAUAUAUUACACAGACCAUAUUAGAACCAUCACAACAUAGCUGCUCAAAGGCAGGCUAUGCUCUCGUUGCCUACAGCAGUCGGCCCCAGAAUGCAAAGCAAACAAACACACACACACACACACACACACACAAAAGUUCUGCGGAAGCCCCUCUGGGUACAAUGCACUACCCAUGCAUUUUAUCAGACACUCUUAUGCAAUCCCAACACUGUGUAAAUCUAACAUCUGGCAUCUGAGGCUGGAAAAAAGGAUCAGGAAGAUAAUUCUCCCUGGACUCUGCUAUUCUCUUGGACAUUUAUGUUCUGUUCUGGGAGUAAGGUGGAAUGACAAAUGGCAUUGGUUUACAGUGAAUUAUACACAGUGAGCUUCAGUAAACUGUAACUGCAUAAGAGUCUGAAACAAGCAAUGGUGACAGAUAAUGGGGUACCUGAAUAUGUGCAUGUGGUAUAUGCUCUGUUAGAUAUUUGAAAAGGUCAAAUCACAGUUUUUCUGUGUUUAACAGAGUACAGCUAUCUGAAAUGGUGGAUAACUUCCUUAUGCUGUGAGGGUGGCUUUUUUUUUUUUUUACAAUGCGUGCACAGUACAUGAGCGCCAGCUUGUUUUGUCAGUUCCAUAAAACAGUAUUAGCAUCAGCUGAGCGCCAUGUGUUUCAAUAUAUCUCUAGUUUUUAAAGUCCCUUUUUAUGAAAAAAUAAAACAAACGGUAAAUAUCAGUUCCAUGAAUCUUUUAAACAAUGAAAACUUGGCACAUACAUUUCGAAGCAAAAAAAAUAAAUAAAAAAUUGGGAAUGGAAACGUGUCAAACCAAUGUGUGCUGACCAUGCUGUGUGUUAUUGACCAUGCUGUGCGUUAUUGACCAUGCUGUGCGUUAUUGCAAAGCAAAGGUGUACCGUUGUGACGUAGGCCAUAGGCUACGAGGACACCAGAGUGUUUAUAGCUGUAGAGUGGUGUAUGCGCUGGUUGCCAUAGGCUACGAGGACACCAUAGCGUUUAUAGCUGUAGAGUGGUGUAUGCGCUGGUUGCCAUGGCGGUGAGAACAGGUUUGUGUGUGGCGGGCCGGCGCUGACAGGAAGCAGACCAAAAGGGCAGUUUUAAUUAAAAAAGCAAAUCAAUGCCUUAAAGCAGGGCUGAGGCUUUGCCAGGGCUCUCUCCUCUAUAUGUGUGUGUGUGUGUGUGUGUGUAUAUAUAUAUAUGACGCAUUGAGAACAGAGGUGGGCGAACAGGAACGUUGCUCUUGGCCGGUCCGUCAUGUGACCUGGCCCACGCCUCCUAUGUAAACAGGACUGGUAGGAGGGGAGGGGUGUGUGUUCUUUAGUCCUGAGACCGAGUGUGGCCCUGGCUAGGGCAGACAGUGUUGUGUGGCAGGUCUAGCCACCCCCACACACACACACACACACACACACACACACACACACACACACACACACACACACACACACACACUCUAGCCACCCUCUCCUGACCCUGGCUUUCUUCUGCAGCAGAGUAAAAGAUGUGUGUUUGGGUGUUCAGGGUCAGACAGCUCUCUCUCACACAGACACAGGAUGCUAACACGCCUUGAUCCUUUCUGUUGGUUGCAGUUGAAGCUCAGUUCAUCCACUGGUGCCUGCUGGCCUAUGACAAUGCCCAGAGACCUCCUUGUGUUUCCCUCACCGAUGUUAAGGGAUUUAAGGGUUUAUGAAAAUGGAGGAUACAGUCGCUGGAAUAUGCCACCUGCCACUGAAGAGAGAGGACAGAUAAGCAGCGGCCACUUUAAGCAAAAGGUGAAGAUGAACCCACGAACUGGGAAAGAAACACAUCAAAACAGAAUUCAAUACGGACCCUCAUGCAAUUCAAAUAACGACCCACCAAACAGCCCAAUUUAGUCCUGUACGCAAAAUCCCACGUUGAUAGACUGACUUUCUUUUGUUGUAUGUCAACCGGCAAUUGAAGAGGCUGGAUUGGCAGUGUUAAAUUUCCAGUGGCGCAAACAAACAAAAGAAAAAGCACUUAGUGGUAACUGGUUGAUCAUUUAGUCAGAAAUUCAGGGGGUCAACGUUGGCAGAGUGAGAAAACCAAGGCGAGAGACAAGUGACAUCACCAAAACUCCUGCUCCCUUUUCAUUGGUGGCUGCUGCUGACUCCUCCUUGGGUACUCGUCUGUGGUACCCGUGUGUGUUUUUUUUCCCCCCCCUACACUAAUGGAUAUCGCUCCUGGGUCAAGAGCGGCUAGGUGCCGUAGACUCUUUCUGAGCCGCUAAAGCACAGCGGUACCUCAGAAGUGGUUGCUCAUGCCCUUCUGCGACAAAUGUUAAAUUGAGGAAAAAGUGCAUUCUGGGGGAUGGGAGUGCUGUGGAAAUGCAGCAGCUUCUUAAGUAGCGUUGUUCCAUCUGCCAGAUAUGAGAUAUGCACAUCAGAGGAGGAAUGCCUAGUCAUUAGCAGGGAGAUACAACACUGACACAACAAGGGGCAAGGGUCUUCAGGGAACAAAGAGAGUAAGAGAGAGAGAGAGAGAGAGAGAGAGAGAGAGAGAGAGAGAGAGAGAGAGAGAGAGAGAGAGGGAGAGAGAGUAUAAAGAUGCAGAGUAUGUGUUAUGCUAAAUACGCAAAGCAAAGGGAAUGAGGAAUGAAAAGCUAAAUAAAUCCAAUCCAACCAAUGGCUCUGCCCAGAAUCGAUGCAGCACACAGAGUUCCCCAGUUGAUUACGUGUAUGAAAGCAUGCGGUCCUCACAGGCAGGAAGUAGAUACUCCAGACUUCACAUGCGUCAAACAUAAUAAAGGUCAAACUACAUCCCAGCAAAUUCAGCUGAUCAAUGAGAAAUACUCUAUUCUGCGGUGGUGUGUGUGUGUGUGUGUGAGUGUGUGAGUGUGUGUGUGUGUGUGUGUGUGUGUGUGUGUGUGUAAGGGGGGAUUGAUUGGCAGUGUAUACGGUAGGAACAGGACAGUAUAAAAGUCCCCCCUUGAGAAUUCUUUUUCAAAUCAAAUAAAUAAAAAAUGGAAUCAUUGCAGUAACAAAUGAUAAAAAAAUGAAUAUCAGCAGCAGAUAAAAAGAAGCAAAAGAUAAAUAGAUGAAGCAAAGUCCUUCACACGUAAAGCAGUGAGCAAGUGAAUGAAUUGAUAAGGCUUCUGACAGCACUGUGAGUAUUAGAUGUCUUAUGGAGCAAGCUGUUUUUGAGUUUUUCCUCGUCUGUAUUCCUUUUCUUGUCCUCUUUCGUCCCCCGGCGUCCCCGCGGUGGUGCCGAGGGGUGUCCGUGUCUUUGUGUGUCGGUUUGUCGGGACCUCGCCGAGGCCCUGGCCACACGCUCGGCCACAGUCUGUUCGCCGGUCAGACGUCCUCAGUGUCCAGCUCCUUAUCACCCCUCCCUCCCUCCCUCCCUCCCUCCAUCCAUCCCUCUCUCCCUCCCUCCCUCCAUCCCUCUCU
ensembl:lncRNA